GACGGAGGGUGCUAGCGUUGUUCGGAAUUACUGGGCGUAAAGGCGCGUAGGCGGCCUGAUCAGUCGGGUGUGAAAGCCCGGGGCUCAACCCCGGAACGGCACCCGAGACGGUCAGGCUGGAGACCGGGAGAGGAGGGUGGAAUAGCCAGUGUAGAGGUGAAAUUCGUAGAUAUUGGCUGGAACACCGGUGGCGAAAGCGGCUCUCUGGCCCGGUUCUGACGCUGAGGCGCGAAAGCGUGGGGAGCAAACAGGG
rnacentral:rRNA from 1 species